rnacentral:lncRNA from 1 species
AAUUUAUUUACUGAAAUUACAAAUUUGGCUAUAUAUGUUUCAUAUCUUUUAUUUGUAUUUAUUGAUUUCUCAUGACAAGUGAAAAAAUUUUAAAAUAUUUUAGUUUGUAAAUCUUCUGUCUCUUAUAGUAUCAACCCGCCGCAAUGCGCGGGUAACUUCACUAGUUAUUAAGAAUAAUAGUCUCAUAUCGAUUACAAAAUAUCAUU